GAUGAACGCUGGCGGCGUGCCUAAUACAUGCAAGUCGAGCGAACAGACGAGGAGCUUGCUCCUCUGACGUUAGCGGCGGACGGGUGAGUAACACGUGGAUAACCUACCUAUAAGACUGGGAUAACUUCGGGAAACCGGAGCUAAUACCGCAUAAUAUAUUGAACCGCAUGGUUCAAUAGUGAAAGACGGCUUUGCUGUAACCUACAGUUGGAUCCGCUCCGCAUUAGCUAGUUGGUAAGGUAACGGGUUACCAAGGCAACGAUGCGUAGCCGACCUGAGAGGGUGAUCGGCCACACGGGAAGUGAGACACGGUCCAGACUCCUACGGGAGGCAGCAGCAGGGAAUCUUCCGCAAAGGGCGAAAGCCUGACGGAGCAACGCCGCGUGAGUGAUGAAGGUCUUCGGAUCGUAAAACUCUGUUAUUGGGGAAGAACAAAUGUGUAAGUAACUAUGCACGUCUUGACGGUACCUAAUCAGAAAGCCACGGCUAACUACGUG
rnacentral:rRNA from 1 species